rnacentral:rRNA from 1 species
AUACGUAGGGAGCGAGCGUUGUCCGGAACUACUGGGUGUAAAGGGAGCGUAGGCGGGAGUGCAAGUCAGAUGUGAAAUCUAUGGGCUUAACUCAUAAACUGCAUUUGAAACUGUAUCUCUUGAGUGCUGGAGAGGUAGACGGAAUUCCUUGUGUAGCGGUGAAAUGCGUAGAUAUAAGGAAGAACACCAGUGGCGAAGGCGGUCUACUGGACAGUAACUGACGCUGAGGCGCGAAAGCGUGGGGAGCAAACAGGAUUAGAUACCCUGGUAGUCCACGCUGUAAACGAUGAAUACUAGGUGUGGGGGGACUGACCCCCUCCGUGCCGCAGUUAACACAAUAAGUAUUCCACCUGGGGAGUACGGCCGCAAGGUUGAAACUCAAAUGAAUUGACGGGU